rnacentral:rRNA from 1 species
UACGAAGGGGGCUAGCGUUGUUCGGAUUUACUGGGCGUAAAGCGCACGUAGGCGGAUUGGUCAGUUAGGGGUGAAAUCCCAGAGCUCAACUCUGGAACUGCCUUUAAUACUGCCAGUCUAGAGUCCGGAAGAGGUGAGUGGAACUCCUAGUGUAGAGGUGGAAUUCGUAGAUAUUAGGAAGAACACCAGUGGCGAAGGCGGCUGACUGGACAUGUAUUGACGCUGAGGUGCGAAAGCGUGGGGAGCAAACAGG